rnacentral:rRNA from 1 species
AUUGAACGCUGGCGGCAGGCCUAACACAUGCAAGUCGAACGGUAACAGGAAACAGCUUGCUGUUUCGCUGACGAGUGGCGGACGGGUGAGUAAUGUCUGGGAAACUGCCUGAUGGAGGGGGAUAACUACUGGAAACGGUAGCUAAUACCGCAUAACGUCGCAAGACCAAAGAGGGGGACCUUCGGGCCUCUUGCCAUCGGAUGUGCCCAGAUGGGAUUAGCUAGUAGGUGGGGUAACGGCUCACCUAGGCGACGAUCCCUAGCUGGUCUGAGAGGAUGACCAGCCACACUGGAACUGAGACACGGUCCAGACUCCUACGGGAGGCAGCAGUGGGGAAUAUUGCACAAUGGGCGAAAGCCUGAUGCAGCCAUGCCGCGUGUAUGAAGAAGGCCUUCGGGUUGUAAAGUACUUUCAGCGGGGAGGAAGGGAGUAAAGUUAAUACCUUUGCUCAUUGACGUUACCCGCAGAAGAAGCACCGGCUAACUCCGUG